AUUGAACGCUGGCGGCAGGCCUAACACAUGCAAGUCGAGCGGAUGAGGGGAGCUUGCUCCCUGAUUUAGCGGCGGACGGGUGAGUAAUGCCUAGGAAUCUGCCUGGUAGUGGGGGAUAACGUUCCGAAAGGAACGCUAAUACCGCAUACGUCCUACGGGAGAAAGCAGGGGACCUUCGGGCCUUGCGCUAUCAGAUGAGCCUAGGUCGGAUUAGCUAGUUGGUGAGGUAAUGGCUCACCAAGGCGACGACCCGUAACUGGUCUGAGAGGAUGAUCAGUCACACUGGAACUGAGACACGGUCCAGACUCCUACGGGAGGCAGCAGUGGGGAAUAUUGGACAAUGGGCGAAAGCCUGAUCCAGCCAUGCCGCGUGUGUGAAGAAGGUCUUCGGAUUGUAAAGCACUUUAAGUUGGGAGGAAGGGCUGCUGGUUAAUACCCUGCAGUUUUGACGUUACCAACAGAAUAAGCACCGGCUAACUUCGUG
rnacentral:rRNA from 1 species